rnacentral:lncRNA from 1 species
AAUUGGCUUAUGUGUUUAAUGCAAUUCCUGUAAAAAUUCUAGAAAGUAUUUUGUUUUGUUUAUAUUUUUGUAAAAAUGGGCAAUCAGAUUUUAAGACUAAUGGAAUGCAAAGAGUCUCAAUUAGCCAAGCUAUUCUAAAAAGAACAAAAUUUGAAGACAUUACAUAAAUUAAGAGAGUAUGGCAUUGGCACUUGGAUAGACAGAGUCUACCAGAUCAAUAAUUUCACUUCCUUUACUGCAUCCUGUUGACCAGGUCCAGCUUCCACUUCAAAGUUACCUCACGUUGUCCACAUUGAUACUGCCGCCAUCUCUCCCAGGGGAUGUGGGGAGGGACAGUGGGACAGUCAGCAGCCUUUUAUGCUGCCCUUUAUAUGCUUGCUCUAAUUCUUUUACGCUGUGCUCUGCUUGCCUCUCUUUUAUCCCGCUCUUGAUUCAUUCAUUUAUCAAACAGUUAUUGAGUGUCCGUGUACUAGGUUGGAUACUAGGGAUACAAAGUUGACAAAGGCAUAGUCAUGCCCUUAAGAAUAUCACAGUCCAGUGGGAGAAGGAGACGUGAGCAGAUAACUGCAGUGCAAUUAGGUAAGUGCUACUGGAAGGUUUCCAUGGUACUUUUGGGAGCAACUAACACUUCUGGGGCAGACAGACAAAGUCUCACAGAGGUAUCUGAGCAACUUUUAAAAAGGUGGGUAAGGGGAUUACCAAUCCAGGAGAUGGAGGUGAGGAUAGGGAAGGAAAAGACAAAGAAAAGAAAACUACCAGAGACUGAAGCAUUGAGCAGAGAGAGGGUGGAUGGGUUCCAGUAGAGAAAAGCAUGGGCAUUUAACUUCACUGCAGGAUUUUAGGGGGAGGCUUAAGAAAAAAAAUGAAAUUCAGGAAAAAAAUGAAGUAAUAUUUCUCAAGGACAUAUUGCUUGAAUUAGAAGAAAAAAAUUUCCAUAAGAUUGCCCAAGAAAAGAACAUAUGUGUUCA